UUUGUUUCUUACUGGUGAACUCUUUCAUUAAAAAUCAGUGGAUGAUGUUCAUGUUUCUGAAGCUAAAAUUAAUUUGCUAGCAUUAAACAACACAGUCAAUGUCUUUAUUUUCGCCGUGUCACCUGUCUCCUGGUACAUUU